UACGAGGACGAUCCAGCGUUGCUCGGAUUCAUUGGGCGUAAAGGGUGCGUAGGCGGCGCGGUAAGUCGGGUGUGAAAUCUCGGGCUUAACUCCGAACUGCAUCGAUACUGCCGUGCUUGAGGACUGGAGAGGAGACUGGAAUUUACGGUGUAGCGGUGAAAUGCGUAGAUAUCGUAAGGAAGACCAGUGGCGAAGGCGGGUCUCUGGACAGUUCCUGACGCUGAGAGACGAAAGCGUGGGGAUCAAACAGG
rnacentral:rRNA from 1 species